GUGCAAUUGCACCGUCUGGGAUGAGCCUGCGGUCCAUUAGGUAGUUGGUGGGGUAAGAGCCUACCAAGCCGACGAUGGAUAGCCGGCCUGAGAGGGUGUACGGCCACACUGGAACUGAGACACGGUCCAGACUCCUACGGGAGGCAGCAGCUAAGAAUCUUCCGCAAUGGGGGAAACCCUGACGGAGCGACGCCGCGUGGAUGAUGAAGGCCGUAAGGUUGUAAAAUCCUUUUGUUGGCGAAGAAUAAGCGGGGGAGUGGAAAGCCCUCGUGAUGACGUUAGCCGACGAAUAAGCCCCGGCCAAUUACGUGCCAGCAGCCGCGGUAAUACGUAUGGGGCAAGCGUUGUUCGGAGUUAUUGGGCGUAAAGGGCGUGUAGGCGGCUCAUCAAGUCUGGUGUGAAAUCUUCAGGCUCAACCUGAGAUAUGCGCUGGAAACUGGUGGGCUUGAGUUCUUGAGGGGAAGCUGGAAUUCCAGGUGUAGGGGUGAAAUCUGUAGAUAUCUGGAAGAACACCGGUGGCGAAGGCGAGCUUCUAUCAAAGGACUGACGCUGAGGCGCGAAAGCGUGGAGCAAACAGGAUUAGAUACCCUGGUAGUCCACGCUGUAAACGAUGUGCACUAGGCGUGGGGCCCGUACGGGUUCUGUGCCGUAGUUAACGCGAUAAGUGCACCGCCUGGGGAGUAUGCUCGCAAGGGUGAAACUCAAAGGAAUUGACGGGGGCCCGCACAAGCGGUGGAGCAUGUGGUUUAAUUCGAUGGUACACGAGGAACCUUACCAGGGCUUGACAUGUGCGUGAAUGUUCACGAGAGUGGGCAGCCCCGCAAGGGGCGCGUACACAGGUGCUGCAUGGCUGUCGUCAGCUCGUGUCGUGAGAUUUUGGGUUAAGUCCCGCAACGAGCGCAACCCUUAUCGUCCGUUGCCACCAGGUUAAGCUGGGCACUCAGACGAAACUGCCGGUGACAAACCGGAGGAAGGUGGGGAUGACGUCAAGUCAUCAUGGCCCUUAUGUCCUGGGCUACACACGUGCUACAAUGGCAAGUACAAAGCGAUGCAAAACGGCGACGUCAAGCAAAUCGCAUAAAGCUUGUCUCAGUGCGGAUUGGAGUCUGAAACCCGACUCCAUGAAGUUGGAAUCGCUAGUAAUCGCGCAUCAGCAUGGCGCGGUGAAUACGUUCCCGGGCCUUGUACACACCGCCCGUCACACCACCC
rnacentral:rRNA from 1 species